rnacentral:pre_miRNA from 1 species
AACAUACUCCCUCUGUCCCAAAAUUCUUGUUUUAGAUUCGUCUAGAUACGAAUGUAUCUAAUACUAAAACAUGACUUGAUACAUCCGUAUUUAGAUAAAUGUAAGACAAGAAUUUUGGGACGGAGGGAGUACAAG